rnacentral:rRNA from 1 species
UACGAAGGGGGCUAGCGUUGUUCGGAAUUACUGGGCGUAAAGCGCACGUAGGCGGGUUGUUAAGUCAGGGGUGAAAUCCUGGAGCUCAACUCCAGAACUGCCUUUGAUACUGGCAACCUAGAGACUGGAAGAGGUUAGUGGAAUUCCCAGUGUAGAGGUGAAAUUCGUAGAUAUUGGGAAGAACACCAGUGGCGAAGGCGGCUAACUGGUCCAGCACUGACGCUGAGGUGCGAA